UUGAGGCGGAAGACGAAGCCAGCAAGGGCCUGGCCGCAAGUGCGUUCGAAUCCGGGACUACAGUCCCUCGUCUGUCCGUACUUCCUCUUUCGACGUGCGGCGCCUUCCCAAAGCGCACAAGUCCGCUAACCGCAGAACGCUUCCGACGUAGCAAAGCCGCGUUUCCUUCGGUACUUCGCAGCAACGCCGCCUUUCCCUCGGCGGCGGGCGAAUAGCCUGCAGACGUCGUCGCAUUAAACCGCGAUCUCGACACCUCGCGCGUCACGAGCAGGAGCCGACCGGCAGCCUCCGGCCCUUUCGGACUCGGUGGCAUUUGCCGCGGAGGACGGGAGAGCACUUUAGGCCACGGUUCCUUCCGUACUUGGCAGCCGCACCCUCAUACCGACAGUUCCAUGACCGACCGAGCGCCACACCGUUCCUUUAGUACUUGGGCGGCAACAAAGUCGGGUCGUUACUCCAUACUCGCCGCAGGAAGCGACCGGCAGCCGCCAGCCUUUUCAGACUCGGCAGCGUUUGCCGCGGAGGACGGGAGAGCGCUCGCACCACGGUUCCGUGUGUCGGCAGCGGCAUUAGCUCUCGACCGUCAGUUCCUUGACCGACCGCACGCUUCGCCGUUCCCCUCGUACUGGGCAAAGCAGCAGGUCGGGUCGUCUUACUCCCAUUCCGCGCAAGAGCGCCAAAGCGGACAGAAAGCCCACCCAGUGUGCGUUACGCCGUUUCUACCCGCGGGCGCGGCCAAGCCAACCGUCCAAGGUUGCAGCCGGCGUCCACUGGGCGCAACAAAUUUGGCACGG
rnacentral:lncRNA from 1 species